rnacentral:rRNA from 1 species
UUGACCGAUAGUGAAGAGUACCGUGAGGGAAAGGUGAAAAGAACCCUGAGCAAGGGAGUGAAACAGAAUUUGAAACCGUGUGCUUACAAACGGUAGGAGCACUUUAUGUGUGACUGCGUGGAUUUUGGUUAAUCAUCCUGCGAGUUAUGGCUGGUGGCAAGGUUAAUAGACGGAGCCGAAGGGAAACCAAGUCUUAACAGGGCGACAAGUCGCCGGCCAUAGACGCGAAACCUAGUGAUCUAGGCCUGUCCAGGCUGAAGCUGAGGUAAGACUCAGUGGAGGGCCGAACUCACCGCCGUUGAAAAGUUGGGAGAUGAGAUAGGUCUAGGGGUGAAAAGCCAAUCGAACUAGGAGAUAGCUCGUUCUCUCCGAAAUGCAUUUAGGUGCAGCCUUGAACUGAGAUAUGUGGGGGUAGAGCUCUGUAUGAUCUAGGGGGCGUACUGCUUACCGAAAUCAAGCAAACUUCGAAUACCAUAUAUCAUGUUCAGGAGUGAGUCCGUGGAUGACAAGGUCCUCGGACGAGAGGGGAACAGCCCAGACCGCCAGCUAAGGUCCCUAAUUAUGUCUAAGUGGGAAAGGAGGUGGACAUUCAUAGACAACCAGGAGGUUGGCUUAGAAGCAGCCAUGCCUUGAAAGAGUGCGUAAUAGCUCACUGGUCGAGAGUGCCUGCGCCGAAGAUGUAACGGGGCUAAGACAUAAACCGAAGCUGCGGAAGAUACCACGUAUCUUGGUAGGAGAGCGUUCUGUAGGCCGUCGAAGGGAUGCCGCAAGGCCAUCCUGGAGGUAUCAGAAGCGAGAAUGCAGGAAUGAGUAGCGAGAAGGCGGGCGAGAAUCCCGCCGGCCGGAAGUCCAAGGUUUCCAGGGGAAGGCUUGUCCGCCCUGGGGAAGUCGGGACCUAAGCAUAAGCAAAAUUGUGACGGCGAAUGGAAAACAGGUUAAUAUUCCUGUACCGCUGUUAUCGCUUGAGAGACGGAGUGACGCAGGAAGGUAUGCGAGAAGGCUGACGGUUUAGCCUUUCUAAGGGCCCAGCGUGGGCGUGCAGGUAAAUCCGCACGCCUAAACGUGAGACCUGACGGGGAAGUGCAUUUGCAUAAGUCGCAGAUCCUACACUGCCAGGAAAAACUUCUAUCGAUGAGAAGCAGCGCCCGUACUGUAAACCGACACAGGUGGACAGAGUGAGAAACUUAAGGCCGACAGGAUAACUCUAGCUAAGGAACUCUGCAAAAUAGCCCCGUAACUUCGGGAGAAGGGGUGCCUGACAUACCUGAAGAGAGAGACGCUCCCAGGGGAAACAGGCCGCAGUGAAGAGUCUCAAGCAACUGUUUACCAAAAACACAGGUCUAUGCUAAGCUGAAAGGCGACGUAUAUGGGCUGACACCUGCCCAGUGCCGGAAGGUUAAGAGGAGGAGUGAGAGCUCCGAUUUGAAGCCCCGGUGAACGGCGGCCGUAACUAUAACGGUCCUAAGGUAGCGAAAUUCCUUGUCGGGUAAGUUCCGACCUGCACGAAUGGUGAAAUGAUUUGAGAGCUGUCUUGGCUGGAGACCUGGUGAAGUUGUAAUGCCGGUGAAGAUACCGGCUACCUGCAGUAGGACGGAAAGACCCCGUGGAGCUUUACUGCAGCCUGGCAUUGGGUUCUGGCAGUGUGUGUAUAGGAUAGUUGGGAGACUGUGAUGCAGUGGCGUCAGCCAUUGCGGAGUCGCUGUUGGAAUACCAACCAUAUGCUGCCGGAAUUCUAAUCUGGCAACGGAGACAGUGCUAGGCGGGCAGUUUGACUGGGGCGGUCGCCUCCCAAAGAGUAACGGAGGCGUUCAAAGGUUCCCUCAGGCUGGAUGGAAAUCAGCCUAAGAGUGCAAACGCAUAAGGGAGCUUGACUGCAAGACUGACGGGUCGAGCAGGUACGAAAGUAGGAGUUAGUGAUCCGGCGGUUCCGCAUGGAAGGACCGUCGCUCAACGGAUAAAAGCUACCCCGGGGAUAACAGGCUGAUACUUCCCAAGAGUCCAUAUCGACGGAAGUGUUUGGCACCUCGAUGUCGGCUCGUCUCAUCCUGGGGCUGGAGAAGGUCCCAAGGGUUGGGCUGUUCGCCCAUUAAAGAGGCACGCGAGCUGGGUUCAGAACGUCGUGAGACAGUUCGGUCCCUAUCCA